rnacentral:tRNA from 1 species
CGGGGUAUAGCGAAGCGGUAUCGCGCACGGUUCGGGACCGUGAGGCCCUGGGUUCGAAUCCCAGUACCCCGA